rnacentral:rRNA from 1 species
AUUGAACGCUGGCGGCAGGCCUAACACAUGCAAGUCGAGCGGCAGCGGGAAAGUAGCUUGCUACUUUUGCCGGCGAGCGGCGGACGGGUGAGUAAUGCCUGGGAAAUUGCCCAGUCGAGGGGGAUAACAGUUGGAAACGACUGCUAAUACCGCAUGCGCCCUACGGGGGAAAGCAGGGGACCUUCGGGCCUUGCGCGAUUGGAUAUGCCCAGGUGGGAUUAGCUAGUUGGGGAGGUAAUGGCUCACCAAGGCGACGCUCCCUAGCUGGUCUGGGAGGAUGAUCAGCCACACUGGAACUGAGGCACGGUCCAGACUCCGACGGGAGGCAGCAGUGGGUAAUAUUGCACAAUGGGGGAAACCCUGAUGCAGCCAUGCCGCGUGUGUGAAGAAGGCCUUCGGGUUGUAAAGCACUUUCAGCGAGGAGGAAAGGUCAGUAGCUAAUAUCUGCUGGCUGUGACGUUACUCGCAGAAGAAGCACCGGCUAACUCCGUGCCAGCCGCCGCAGUAACAC